GAUGAACGCUAGCGAUAGGCUUAACACAUGCAAGUCGAGGGGCAGCAUGGUCUUAGCUUGCUAAGACUGAUGGCGACCGGCGCACGGGUGCGUAACGCGUAUGCAACUUGCCUCACAGAGGGGGAUAACCCGUCGAAAGACGGACUAAUACCGCGUACACUCCAUCUUGGGCAUCCAAGGUAGAGGAAAUGAAAUUCGCUGUUAGAUAGGCAUGCGUCCCAUUAGCUAGUUGGUGAGGUAACGGCUCACCAAGGCGACGAUGGGUAGGGGAACUGAGAGGUUGAACCCCCACACUGGUACUGAGACACGGACCAGACUCCUACGGGAGGCAGCAGUGAGGAAUGUUGGUCAAUGGGCGAGAGCCUGAACCAGCCAAGUCGCGUGAAGGAUGACUGUCUUAUGGAUUGUAAACUUCUUUUAUACGGGAAUAACAAGAGUCACGUGUGACUUCCUGAAUGUACCGUAUGAAUAAGCAUCGGCUAACUCCGUG
rnacentral:rRNA from 1 species